AUUGAACGCUGGCGGCAGGCUUAACACAUGCAAGUCGAGCGAGCGGCGGACGGGUGAGUAAUGUAUGGGAAACUGCCUGAUGGAGGGGGAUAACUACUGGAAACGGUAGCUAAUACCGCAUACCAUCAGAUGUGCCCAGAGGGGAUUAGCUAGUAGGUGGGGUAAUGGCUCACCUAGGCGCCGAUCCCUAGCUGGUCUGAGGGGAUGACCGGCAACACGGGAACUGGGACAGGGUCCAGGCUCCUACGGGAGGCGGCAGGGGGGAAGAUUGCACAAGGGGCGCAGGCCUGAUGCAGCCAUGCCGGGUGUGUGAAGAGGGCCUUCGGGUUGUAAAGAACUUUCAGCGAGGAGGCGUUACUCGCGGAAGAAGCACCGGCUAACUCCGUGCCAGCAGCCGGGGUAAUA
rnacentral:rRNA from 1 species